UACGGAGGGGGCAAGCGUUAUUCGGAAUCAUUGGGCGUAAAGGGCGCGUAGGCGGCUAGGCAAGACAGGGGUGAAAUCUCUCGGCUCAACCGAGGAAUUGCCUCUGAAACUGCCCAGCUCGAGGCCGGGAGAGGGUAGUGGAAGUCCCAGUGUAGCGGUGAAAUGCGUAGAUAUUGGGAGGAACACCAGUGGCGAAGGCGGCUACCUGGACCGGUUCUGACGCUGAGGCGCGAAAGCGUGGGGAGCAAACAGG
rnacentral:rRNA from 1 species